CCUACGGGUGGCAGCAGUGAGGAAUAUUGCUCAAUGGACGCAAGCCUGAACCAGCCACGCCGCGUGCAGGAUGAAGGUCCUCUGAUUUGUAAACUGUGUUUGUACGAGGGUAAAUUCCGAUUCGUGUAUCGGGUUGAAAUUACCGUACGAAUAAGGAUCGGCUAAAUCCGUGCCAUCAGCCGCGGUAAUACGGAGGAUUCAAGCGUUAUCCGGAUUUGUUGGGUUUAAAGGGUACGUAGGCGGUUCGAUAAGUUAGGGGUGAAAUCCCGGGGCUCAACUCCGGCACUGCCUCUGAUACUGGCAGACUAGAGUUUAGUUGCGGUAGGCGGAAUGUAAGGUGUAGCGGUGAAAUGCAUAGAGAUCAGGCAGAACACCGAUGGCGAAGGCAGCUUACCGAACUACGACUGACGUUGAGGCACGAAAGCGUGGGGAGCAAACAGGAUUAGAUACCCCGGUAGUC
rnacentral:rRNA from 1 species